UUUGCUGAACAAGAAGAAAGAAUCAAUAAUGCAGCUACUACAAUCUCAAUCAAUGUCUCGUCUUCGCAUUGGAGAAGCUCUAACAAGACCGGCUGAGGAGAGCAAAGAGAGCGGCUUCAAUGGCUCGAUAAUCUUGCGACUGAAGCAUCAAAACCAAAGGCGAAAUGAUUCCUUUUUCGACCAACUUAUGCCGUUGCUUGGGGCUGAAUUUAGCAAGUUGAUUAGCAGCCUGAAUCUGUGCUUCUGUGCCUCCAUUGAAAAGAUGAUGCACCACAAUUUCCUCCAUGCCGCUCUCUUUCUCUUUAAUUUGAUAUAACAAUAAGAUAUGUUAUUGUUAAGAAGUAGUAGAAAUAGUAGUGAAGCUGAUAUGGAUGGUUGCUUGAGGUUGAGGAUUUUGUGUUAAAAAUCUUUUUUGGGGUAACCAUUGUUUCAGAUUGAAGCAACUUCCUAUUCUCUUUUCA